GUUUGUUGAACAUUUCAGAUUUUCUCCAAAUGUGCAGAAUGUGAUUCAACAUUUGGAAAAUACUAAUCACAUUCAAGUUGUCAGCAAAUUGUACCAAGUUGAAUUGGUUUAGGGAAGAUAUGUUAAAUAGGAGAUUGUUGGGACUCGGCAUUAUAACAGAUCCCAACGCGUUUCUCCCUGACUUAGUUUUGCUAAUACAAGCUGUCAGUGUAUACACUGCUGAUUGCAAGACUCAGGCACCCAAAAUAUAUUCCUUAA